rnacentral:rRNA from 1 species
GAUGAACGCUGGCGGCGUGCCUAAUACAUGCAAGUCGAGCGAACAGACGAGGAGCUUGCUCCUCUGACGUUAGCGGCGGACGGGUGAGUAACACGUGGAUAACCUACCUAUAAGACUGGGAUAACUUCGGGAAACCGGAGCUAAUACCGGAUAAUAUAUUGAACCGCAUGGUUCAAUAGUGAAAGACGGUUCUGCUGUCACUUAUCGAUGGAUCCGCGCCGCAUUAGCUAGUUGGUAAGGUAACGGCUUACCAAGGCAACGAUGCGUAGCCGACCUGAGAGGGUGAUCGGCCACACUGGAACUGAGACACGGUCCAGACUCCUACGGGAGGCAGCAGUAGGGAAUCUUCCGCAAUGGGCGAAAGCCUGACGGAGCAACGCCGCGUGAGUGAUGAAGGUCUUCGGAUCGUAAAACUCUGUUAUUAGGGAAGAACAAAUGUGUAAGUAACUAUGCACGUCUUGACGGUACCUAAUCAGAAAGCCACGGCUAACUACGUG